rnacentral:lncRNA from 1 species
CAAACAUGGGGAUUCUUUGAAUCUUCUAAGCAAGAAAAAUACAGGCCCUCCCACACCCCAGUAGAGAGGUGGGGAGCCUGGCAGCAUUCAAGGUAGUCUUCCCAGUGGUGGCAAUGCCCCAGUGGAGUCCUGGAGCAUCCAAGAUGGAUGCUGGGCCUGGGGCUGGAGGACAUGAGGCAUCAGGGGACUUGACAGGAGAUCAGUCUGGAAAGUGUCCAGGAAGAAAAGACUUCCACCAGUCACCCCAGACAAAGGGCUGUCAUGGGGGAGACUGUCUGGUAGCAGGAGGCGGAGGCAGAGGCAGCUCCGGGCAGUUGGCUGUUCCCAGAAGGCCACACGCUGCUCUUGACUUGGCUUCUUCCAGCCCUAUUGCCUGCUGGCUGGCACCUGCCCCCUUGUGUUGUCUGCCCCUCAUCACUGGCAUUCUUCAAGUUUAUACGUGGGACGCCUACCACAGCAUGGCUGCCAAGCAGUGCCGUGUCCGCACCCGGGAUCCGAACCAGCGAACCCCGGGCCGCCGAGAAGCGGAACGUGCGAACUUAACCGCUGCGCCACCGGGCCGGCCCCAUCACCUGGAAAAUUUGAAAGGAGAUUCCUACUACUUUAAAAGUACAUCUCAUUUCUGG